rnacentral:rRNA from 1 species
CCCUUAGACGUUCUGGGCCGCACGCGCGCUACACUGACCAGUGCAACAAGCAUCCGUCCUUGGCCGACAGGCCCGGGCAAUCUUUGAACGCUGGUCGUGAUGGGGAUAGACUUUUGCAAUUUUUGGUCUUCAACGAGGAAUUCCUAGUAAACGCAAGUCAUCAACUUGCAUUGAUUACGUCCCUGCCCUUUGUACACACCGCCCGUCGCACCUACCGAUUGAAUGGUCCGGUGAAGCCUCCGGAUUGGUGCGCACCUCGGUGCCGCCGAGAAGUUGGCUAAACCUUACCAUUUAGAGGAAGGUGAAGUCGUAACA